GCCCCGCUAACUCAUCCGGUAGAGUAACGCCCUUUUAAGGCGUGAGUGGCAGGUUCGAGUCCUGCGCGGGGUACCA
rnacentral:tRNA from 1 species